GAUGAAGAACGUAGCGAAAUGCGAUACGUAAUGUGAAUUGCAAAUUCAGUGAAUCAUCGAGUCUUUGAACGCACAUUGCGCCCCCUGGUAUUCCGGGGGGCAUGCCUGUCCGAGCGUCAUUGCUGCCCUCAAGCCCGGCUUGUGUGUUGGGUCUCGUCCCCCUUCCCGGGGGGACGGGCCCGAAAGGCAGCGGCGGCACCGCGUCCGGUCCUCGAGCGUAUGGGGCUUUGUCACCCGCUCUGUAGGCCCGGCCGGCGCUUGCCGAUCAACCAAAACUUUUUUCCAGGUUGACCUCGGAUCAGGUAGGGAUACCCGCUGAACUUAAGCAUAUCAAUAAGCGGAGGA
rnacentral:misc_RNA from 1 species